AGAGAGUUUGAUCCUGGCUCAGGAUGAACGCUGGGGACGUGCUUAACACAUGCAAGUCGAACGAAGCGCCUCCCCGGACGAAGUGGAGUGCUGCACAAAAGCGGAAUCAAUUGAGGGGACUUAGUGGCGGACGGGUGAGUAACGCGUGGGUAACCUGCUUUAUACAGGGGGAUAACAGUUAGAAAUGACUGCUAAUACCGCAUAAGCGCACAGUAUCGCAUGAUACGGUGUGAAAAACUCCGGUGGUAUAAGAUGGACCCGCGUCUGAUUAGCCAGUUGGCAGGGUAACGGCCUACCAAAGCGACGAUCAGUAGCCGGCCUGAGAGGGUGAACGGCCACAUUGGGACUGAGACACGGCCCAAACUCCUACGGGAGGCAGCAGUGGGGGAUAUUGCACAAUGGGGGAAACCCUGAUGCAGCGACGCCGCGUGAGCGAAGAAGUAUUUCGGUAUGUAAAGCUCUAUCAGCAGGGAAGAAAAUGACGGUACCUGACUAAGAAGCUCCGGCUAAAUACGUGCCAGCAGCCGCGGUAAUACGUAUGGAGCAAGCGUUAUCCGGAUUUACUGGGUGUAAAGGGAGCGUAGACGGUUUGCCAAGUCUGAUGUGAAAGGUGUGGGCUCAACCCGCAAACUGCAUUGGAAACUGGUAUACUUGAGUGUCGGAGAGGUAAGUGGAAUUCCUAGUGUAGCGGUGAAAUGCGUAGAUAUAAGGAAGAACACCAGUGGCGAAGGCGGAUUGCUGGACAGUAACUGACGGUGAGGCGCGAAAGUGUGGGGAGCAAACAGGAUUAGAUACCCUGGUAGUCCCCU
rnacentral:rRNA from 1 species